rnacentral:tRNA from 1 species
UGCAGAGUAGCGCAGGCUGGUAGCGCGUGAGGCUCAUAAUCUCAAGGUCGCGGGUUCAAAUCCCGCCUCUGCACCCA